CCUACGGGUGGCAGCAGUGGGGAAUUUUGCACAAUGCUCGAAAGACUGACGCAGCGACGCCGCGUGAAUGACGAAGGCCUUCGGGUCGUAAAGUUCUGUCAGGAGGGAAGAAAGCGCAUGGCGCCAAUCAGUCAUGAGUUGACGGUACCUACAAAGGAAGCGACGGCUAACUCCGUGCCAGCAGCCGCGGUAAUACGGAGGGCGCGAGCGUUAAUCGGAAUUACUGGGCGUAAAGCGAGCGUAGGCGGUUGUGUAAGUUGGGGGUGAAAGCCCACGGCUCAACCGUGGAACAGCACUUGAUACUGCGCGACUUGAAUGCGGGAGAGGGUGGCGGAAUUCCAGGUGUAGGAGUGCAAUGCGUAGAUAUCUGGAGGAACAUCAGUGGCGAAGGCGGCCACCUGGUCCGGUAUUGACGCUGAGGCGCGAAAGCGUGGGUAGCAAACAGGAUUAGAUACCCCAGUAGUC
rnacentral:rRNA from 1 species